CGACUCUGGUUUCUCUUCAUUACGCACAAGCCUUUCGCCUUUUACUAAAGACUUCCGUGGAAGGAACACUUACGAGUUCAACGUGUUUUGGAAGGGCUUUGCUUCUGGCAGAGCC
rnacentral:snRNA from 1 species